ACGAUUAUGUGGCGGUGAAUCCCCCUAAGCGGAGGGGCGAAAAGUCUGAAUAAAAAAGUAGUGGUUGUCCAUGUCAUAAUUCGCGAGCCUUUUGACUUGAAGGCUUACCGGGAGGCACCCGGCACCGCAGCAAAAUU
rnacentral:ncRNA from 1 species